CAAAACGAAAGAAGACAGAUGAUGACAGUGAUACAAGUCCAAAGGCGUCCUCUAAGAGGAAGAAGUCUGAAAAAGCUACCAAGGCCUCCACCUCUACCCCUUCAAAGUCUGCAUCAAAAGAGAAGCCAGGUUUGGAUACUGUCCUCUUUUUCUUUAUCUUCCACUAAGAUGAUUGCUUAGGUAGAAUACAUCAUGUGUGGGAGAGUGUAGGGUACUUUGUUUGCAGAAGCUAGCCAAAGCUAAUAUUGCUGUCACUAAUGUCUUUUAACACCAUCUUAAUCUGUGGGUUUGUGCCUAUGCUAGAAGUUAAAGGAGCUGGAAAAGGGAAAGAAAAAACCAAAGGGCCAAGUGAUAAAGUGCUGAAGAAUGCAAUCAUUAAGAUACUGAAAAGGGUCGACUUUAAUACGGUGAGUUCAUAUCUCAGCCUUUAAUAUUCGAGACAGUUUUAACUACUACUUGGGAUUCUUCAGAACAAACUUUUUGGUUGCAUAAAAAUUCCUGCAUUUUCUGAAGGCUGAUUAGAGUUUCUUGUAAAAUAUCUAUACAAACUGUGAAUUAUCUACUUAUAUAGAUAACCUUAUAAGAUCAUUGUUGUUCUUCUACAGGCUACAUUCACGGACAUCAUCAAAGAACUUGGUAUGAACAGAUUGGUUUCACUCUAUCAUUAUUUUCUUCAGUGUUAUCUUGUCAGAUUCUGAUUAUGUAUGGUAACACACAUUGUUUCACCUAUAUUUCAGGGAAGGAGUUCAAAGAUGAUCUCACCCCAAGAAAGUUAUCUAUAAAGCUGAUGAUCCAAAGUGAGCUCACCAAAUUAGCAGAAGAGGCUGAAGAAGAAAAGAUAGAAGAUGAGAAAGAAGAGGAUGCAGAGAAGAAGAAAGCAGGAGGGUCUACUGGUACUGAGAAAGAGAAAGAAGAGGAUGCAGAGAAGGAGAAAGCAGAAGGGUCUGCUGGUAGUGUGAAGGAGAAAGAAGAGGAAACAGUGAAGGAGAAAGCAGGAGGGUCUGCUGGUAGUGUGAAGGAGAAAGAAGAGGAAACAGUGAAGGAGAAAGCAGGAGGGUCUGCUGGUAGUGUGAAGGAGAAAGAUGAGGAAACAGUGAAGGAGAAAGCAGGAGGGUCUGCUGGUAGUGUGAAGGAGAAAGAUGAGGAAACAGUGAAGGAGAAAGCAGGAGGGUCUGCUGGUAGUGAGAAGGAGAAAGAAGAGGAAGCAGUGAAGGAGAAAGCAGGAGUGUCUGCUGAUGGUGAGGAGGUGAAAUCCUAAACUCCUUUCUGAUCACAUGGCACAUACUGAGACUCUCUCCCCCUUAGCCUAAAUGUUGUUGUAUGAUGCUUAGUAGAC
rnacentral:lncRNA from 1 species